GACUGUACAUCAUAAAAUCAAAAAUACACUAGGGUUGUCUAGUAGUGGAUGAUGUGGCUCCCGUACUCAGUCUAGUAUGUCGCAUGACCAAGCUUAUCCCCUCAGAUACAUUCCCUAGUUGUUCGAUGAUCUCCGAGGUGGCCUUAGAUUGUAUCUCAGUUAGCUGGGUCACAUUCUUCUGAAUAGUGUCAAGCUUGAAGAUUAAGGCAUUUGCAAGCCUUUCCGCACCUUGACUCUAGCUACUCAGCUCUUCUCUGAUGCUGUCUCACAUCUUCCUCGUGUCUUCCUUUAUGUCGCUAAGGCUCCAGUAUUGACCCUGGACUAGGCUUCUUAUGUUGGACAUUUCCUCC
rnacentral:lncRNA from 1 species